rnacentral:lncRNA from 1 species
GUGGUGCUUAACAGUGUUAUUGUGAGGUUCAAAAUAGAUUACUCAUAUAAAAUACUUUGCAUGCUUUAAGGAGUCAUAUGAGUAAGCAAUAAUAACAUUAAUAAAAAUAAAUAACUGAUUAUUAAUAUUAAUUAGUUAUAUGAAUAAUUAUCAUUAAUAAUAACUAACCUAAUACAAUUCUUGGCAUACUAGUAAGUACUCUGUACCAAGAACCAUGUUAGGUGCAUUAUAAGUAUUAUCUCAUAUGAUCCUAACAACAAUCUUAGGAGGUAGGUGAUAUUAUUUGUAUUUAACAGAUUGGUAAACUGAGGUAGAGUUUUUUUAAUAACGUGCCCAGUUUCACACAGAAAAUGUCUGUAUCUAAAUUUGAACUCAUGUCCUAGUGACUCCAGGCUCUGUACCACCUAGCUGUUCCAAUAAAUAUUAUCCAAUGAUAAGAAUCAGCAUGACAUUAAAGAUAGAGAGCUCACCUUGGAACUAGGAAGUUUUGGAUUCCUUCUUUCCUUUGAAAUGUACUGGCUGUGUGAUACUAGGCAAACUGGGCUUCAUACAGCUCUCUGUCACUUCCAGGUGUAGGGACAGCGCAGGACUACAUUCCCAGAAGAUGUUUUCUAAAUGAGAGUUUCUUCCACCACUGUCAUCAUUUCUGAGGGCUCCAGCCCCUCUGCUUGAAGAAAGGAAACAGCCUGGUUGGCCGUGCUGACCUUCUGGGGGACCUGACCAUGAUUUUCAAGAACCAAUUUAAAAUCUUACCCUAUGGCUGGGAGCUGAGAAGGCAGCACAGAAGGAAACUGGAGGGUGAGAACACAGUGCUCCAGGCAUCUGUAUCUUCAUUCAUAGCAGGGAAGGUCUACGAGGAAGCAGAUUAAAAAAGGAUUGACAUUUCUUUCUUCAAAAGAUGGUUCCUCCUCACAGAUAUCUGUAAAGCCACAUUUGGAAGAAGACACAACUGCAAAGUGAGGUUCCUUCCCCUGUGAAAUCGGGAGAAACAAACAAUUUAGAAACAUCAAAUAAAAAGAGAUUUUAU